UUCUGAUUAAUAAAAUUCUCUCUCUUCUAGAGAGUUCUCUCAACUGCUCCUCCUUCUCUCUAGAUUCUCUCACUAGAUUCUUCAUGAUUUUUCAGUUUAAUCUCAAAGUUUUCAUGGUAUCAGAGCCUAGACGACGAUCCCACUAUGUUUUUCUGCAUCUUGUUAUCUCGUUUGAAGUCUCCUUUGAGAUUUUUGGGGGUGUUUCUGACACUUUGUGGUCGAUGACGAUUCCGAUCUAAAUCAGAUGCCUUUCUGAGACUUUCAUCGUGAUAUCUGAGUAUAUUUUCUUCACUCGAACGUUCUGGGAGAUUUUCCGAUGAUUUUUGGGUGACUUUUCGGUGACCUAUCGGCUUCUAGGGUUUCUGGUGGUUUAACCUUGGGUUUUACUGCUAUCCGGUGGCUCGAUCCUCACUCAGUGGAUGUUUAGGGUGCCUUUCCGACAUCCCUCACCAUAUUUCCAGUAAGGUUUUCAACGGUUGCACCUAGGGUUUUGUACCUAGGGUUUUCUGUGAUUGAUUGAAGGUCGAUCUUCUCCGGUCGCGAAGAAGGAGGGUAAUUCUGUCCUUAUCUUGAGUAUUGUAUGCUUUGUGUAUGAUUAUUUGGCUCCGUAUGUGAGUAUCUGGUUUCAAUUGAUUGAAGGCCGAUCUUCUGCUGUCGCGAAGAAGGAGGGUAACUUUGUCCUUAUCGUGAGUAUUGUAUGCUUUGUGUGUGAUAAUUUGGCUCCGUAUGUGAGUAUCUGGUUUUGUGUGUGAAUAUCUGGUUUCGAUAUAUUUUCCUUGUCGAAACUGUUCCUUUUUCUCAAGCUGGUACAUUAAUCAUGACUUUUAAUACGAAUGCUGGUACCUGCUCCUCGGUAGACUCUACCAGUCCUCUCUUUGUAUACUCCUCUGAUGUCCCUGGGGUCUCUCUUGUUCCCACUACCUUCUCGGGAAGUGGUUAUGGGGGUU
rnacentral:lncRNA from 1 species